CGCCUCGCAUGAAGUUGGAAUCGCUAGUAAUCGCGGAUCAGCAUGCCGCGGUGAAUACGUUCCCGGGCCUUGUACACACCGCCCGUCACCACCAUGAGAGUCGGGAACACCCGAAGUCCGUAGUCUGACCGCGAAGGGGGACGCGGCCGAAGGUGGGUUCGAUAAUUGGGGUGAAGUCGUAACAAGGUAUC
rnacentral:rRNA from 1 species